CACAAAGGGUGAAGCCUGCGGUUCAAUUGGAGUCAACGCCGGGAAUCUUACCGGGGGCGACAGCAGAGUGAAGGUCAAGCUAAAGACUUUACCAGACAAGCUGAGAGGAGGUGCAUGGCCGUCGCCAGCUCGUGCCGUGAGGUGUCCUGUUAAGUCAGGU
rnacentral:rRNA from 1 species